GAAAAACACACCAAUGAGAUGAUUCGGCUCUGUUCUUGCCCUGAGUAUUUUCCUACCAGUCAGCAACCUCCUCCCCCAAACUCUGCCUCUCAACCGCUCCCAUCUCGUGACAGUGCCAUCCCGAAGCAUUUACAGAGCACAGAAGGUGAAGUUAGGUCAAUGUUAUUCAGCUAUAUCACAGCUACAACACAGAGAUACCGGGUACAUUUCUAGAGGCACCUUCAUGGGUAUAACAUUCUCACCUUCUCUAAACUGAAGCAACAAGACACGAAUAUACAAAUUCUUAUUGGUUUCGGAAUUAGCUCUGUUUCGUCGAAGAAUCUUUCAGUCCAGGCAUGACUCUGCCUUGGCUCUCAACUGUGAUAAUCGUGUCUGUUCUAAAAGGCACCUAUGGAGCAGACUCAGUGACCCAAAUUGAAGGCAGCCUUACCAUCACCCAAGGGGACUCGGUGCGUCUGAACUGUACCUAUCAAUUUUCUUUCACUGCUAAUGUCGAUCCCUUCUGGUAUGUGCAAUUUCCCAACCAGCCCCCCAGGCUCUUCCUCAGGGACCUGGGACGGGAGAACUCGGAUGAAGGGAUCAGAAAAGGGUUCGAUGCCACCCACGACAAAAAGCACAAAUCCUUCCACCUGUGGAAAUCGUCCAGCGACUCGAGCGACUCCGCGACCUAUUACUGCGCCGUGAGAGACACAGUGACACUGACCGACAGGGGAGCUGAGCAAAAACCGCGCAGCGUCUGUGCGCAGCAGCGGGCACCGGGGUCGACUCGGUGGCAGAAAGUGGGGCGGGGAGUCUGCAAACUUUGAACUUGGAACAGAAAUCUCUCUCUCUAGCUCUCUGUUUUUUGCUGCUUUGCCCUAACCCGGAGCGCUGCCAUCUUAGAAAUGGCGUUGAAUGUCAUGAAUCUCUAAAUCAGGUAAAAUCAGGAAAGACCAGAACACAUCCACCCGCACCACCUACCAUGAACAAGUCUGGUGAAAGCUGUCCCCAGGUCCAUUUUUGAAGAGAAGUGCAACCAGACAAUUAAUAUCAUUCAAUCUAAACCAAUUAACCCACUAACUCGAGCAUGAUCACGGGUGAGAGGUUCAUAUCCAACUGGAAAACUAGCUGGUACUGUGGAGUUGAGGAACCUUCUCCAGCCCAAUAUACACAGAGAGACAGACAGAUAGAGUCUUUAGAUGACCUCUCUCACCUGCUGCAUCAGAAAAAUGCCCACUAUCUGUAUUGGAAAGGCUAUUUUACCGGCAAAGGUAUAAACAAAUCUGCUGAAACAAUUUCCCAUUUUUGUGAACACAUUUUACCGCUUGGGGGCGGUGUGAUGCUAGGUAAAUAAUGAAAGUAACAGCAAUUUUCCGUCCCGUGUUCUCUGCCCUCUCCUGACACCAACCCAGCCCUCUUUGUCCUUCAUACGCACCCGUUUCUGACAGUACCGUUGAUAAGGAUUUACAGAGCAGAAGGAAUCACUCUUGGGAAGUUGGGUUCAUGCUGUUGCGACAAGUGUCAGCUUCUACUCACAGAUACAAAAUACAUUUUAAGGCACCUUUUACAUAACACAAUUCUUGCCUUUUCUAAAUUGGCGCUACUAGACACGCAGACGGAUCAGUUUUGCUGAAUAGGAGAAUUAGCUCUGUUUAGUCAAAGUAUCAUUCAACCGAAGGAUGUUUCUGACUUGGCUCUCCGCUGUUAUACUCACAGCUAGUGAGUAACGUUCAGUGUUCUCAGCGUUGUUAUAUUUUAUCGAACCUUGUCUUCAUCCUGCCUUCAUCAUCUAGUUUGUCUGAGCGGCUAAGAUCACGCAGUGCUUAUAUUACAUCCGAUUGUAUCUUGUAUGUUUGUAUUGUCUAUGAGGGUUAAUGUUUUCUGUUGUAUCAGAGUAUAAAUAUUAUAUUUCUAUUAUA